GUGAGAGAUAACCUGACUGUUGAAACAUCACCUAUGAGGAUCGAGGAUCGAGAGUUGAAGCAGUUGCGGGGUAAAGAGAUUGCCUUGGUGAAGGUAGCUUGGGGAGGACCAGCAGGUGGCAAUGUGACUUGGGAACUUGAGAGUCAGAUGAAGGAGUCUUAUCCGGAGUUGUUCGCUUGAGGAAAAAGAGACAGAACGUGGAAAAGGGCAAAAAGAGAACCAGAGAACGAAGGUUGAAGGAAGGAGAAGCUUGGAGCUCAGAGGCUGCCGGAUUAACUCAGGUAACCAGCUAUGAGUGAAUAGAAGUUAAUGCUUGGAGUCUAGAGUAGUCUCCUAAGGGGUCAUGCUCUGAUAGAUGUAACAUCGGGAUGGGAUGUUUGAAUAUGUUUGAUUUUGUUGUUGAUCAACUUUACAUGUAAAGUGGUACAUGAUUUGAUUUU